GAUGAACGCUGGCUACAGGCUUAACACAUGCAAGUCGAGGGGAAACGACGGGGAAGCUUGCUUCCCCGGGCGUCGACCGGCGCACGGGUGAGUAACGCGUAUCCAACCUGCCUCUGACUGAGGGAUAACCCGUCGAAAGUCGGCCUAAUACCUCAUGGCAUCGUCUGCGGGCAUCCAACGACGAUUAAAGAUUUCAUUGGUCAGGGAUGGGGAUGCGUCUGAUUAGCUAGUUGGCGGGGUAACGGCCCACCAAGGCGACGAUCAGUAGGGGUUCUGAGAGGAAGGUCCCCCACAUUGGAACUGAGACACGGGCCAAACUCCUACGGGAGGCAGCAGUGAGGAAUAUUGGUCAAUGGGCGAGAGCCUGAACCAGCCAAGUAGCGUGCAGGAUGACGGCCCUAUGGGUUGUAAACUGCUUUUAUGCGGGGAUAAAGUGAGGGACGUGUCCUUCAUUGCAGGUACCGCAUGAAUAAGGACCGGCUAAUUCCGUG
rnacentral:rRNA from 1 species